rnacentral:rRNA from 1 species
GAUGAACGCUGGCGGCGUGCCUAAUACAUGCAAGUCGAGCGAACAGACGAGGAGCUUGCUCCUCUGACGUUAGCGGCGGACGGGUGAGUAACACGUGGAUAACCUACCUAUAAGACUGGGAUAACUUCGGGAAACCGGAGCUAAUACCGGAUAAUAUAUUGAACCGCAUGGUUCAAUAGUGAGAGACGGUUUUGCUGUCACUUAUAGAUGGAUCCGCGCCGCAUUAGCUAGUUGGUAAGGUAACGGCUUACCAAGGCAACGAUGCGUAGCCGACCUGAGAGGGUGAUCGGCCACACUGGAACUGAGACACGGUCCAGACUCCUACGGGAGGCAGCAGUGGGGAAUAUUCGACAAUGGGCGCAAGCUUGACGCAGCAACACCGCGUGAGUGAAGAAGGUCUUCGGGUCGUAAAACCCUGUUGUUAGGAAAGAACAAAUGUAUAAGUAACUAUGCACGUCUUGACGGUACCUAAACAGAAAGCAACGGCUAACUACGUG